rnacentral:lncRNA from 1 species
CCAAAAUGUAGAAUGAACUUUUAUAUGAGUAACGUUGUCUGUUUUUGUAAAAUGUUAAAGUGACGAUGGGUUAAAAAUCUAUUAUAUUCACUAUGCAAACACUCUGUCCAAACAAGUCCUUUGUUAACCCAUGGGUGAGAAAUAAGCAGACACAUUUUGUCAGACACAAUGCCCGUGAUAAAUCUAGAUCAUAUAGAGUAAAAUAUCCCUGUCAGACCAAGCCACACUCUCCAGAUAUAGUCUAAACUAUUCCACGGGUAACUGUCUGAUUUUGCAAAAUGAUAAAAUUAAUGUUCUGACAAUUUGUAAGGAGUCCAGUGUUUGGAUCCAAAUCCCUUUACAGCAGAUAGAAACGACUCGUUAACUUCAGCAUGGCUUGGAUCCGUCUGCUAUCUGGGAAACUCCUGCAAACAAUGGUGUCAACAUGGAUGAGAUACCAGUUCCCCAGUUUGUAAAAUCUCUCUGGUGUUUCUUGCUCAGCGGAUAAAACUGGAAAGUCAAUAAGUAGUGAGACCACCGUUGAAACUUCAUACCCUGCCUUCCAGCUCUGUAAACUCACAAAACAAGCCUCGCAUUUCACCCUUCUUCCCUGGUUUUGCUUUAAACUGCAUUGAAUUUCAGCAGCGGCCGCACAAGAAUUCUUCCCAUCCCGCACGUUCCCCAUCAAAGGAUCCAAUGCGUUACAACAGAGGCAGAUCGUGAAAAGCACAAACAAACAAUCCCUACUGUACACCCAGGCAAACUGAUUAAACACCAGAGGGGAAAAAAAGGUCUUAGACAUCACAUUUCCUGAGCUUUUCCCCUCUCAGUGCACUACUUACUUGUAAUUACGUCUGGGGCCAUUCCUUCCUAUUCCACAGGAUAAACUGGAAUAUACUGCUCGGCAGUUUUGUCUCUAGCUCUUUAAACACUAGAGACCUUAUAAGCAAACAACCUUUCUUUUUUUUUCUUUUUUUUUUUUUUUCCCAGCCUGUUAUGAAAUUUUAAUGAUCUUCCAAGGCUCUCAGAACCGAAC